rnacentral:rRNA from 1 species
AGCGUACACGGUGGAUGCCCUGGCAGUCAGAGGCGAUGAAGGACGUGCUAAUCUGCGAUAAGCGUCGGUGAGGUGAUAUGAACCGUUAUAACCGGCGAUUUCCGAAUGGGGAAACCCAGUGUGUUUCGACACACUAUCAUUAACUGAAUCCAUAGGUUAAUGAGGCGAACCGGGGGAACUGAAACAUCUAAGUACCCCGAGGAAAAGAAAUCAACCGAGAUUCCCCCAGUAGCGGCGAGCGAACGGGGAGGAGCCCAGAGCCUGAAUCAGUGUGUGUGUUAGUGGAAGCGUCUGGAAAGGCGCGCGAUACAGGGUGACAGCCCCGUACACAAAAAUGCACAUAUUGUGAGCUCGAUGAGUAGGGCGGGACACGUGGUAUCCUGUCUGAAUAUGGGGGGACCAUCCUCCAAGGCUAAAUACUCCUGACUGACCGAUAGUGAACCAGUACCGUGAGGGAAAGGCGAAAAGAACCCCGGCGAGGGGAGUGAAAAAGAACCUGAAACCGUGUACGUACAAGCAGUGGGAGCCUCUUUAUGGGGUGACUGCGUACCUUUUGUAUAAUGGGUCAGCGACUUAUAUUCUGUAGCAAGGUUAACCGAAUAGGGGAGCCGAAGGGAAACCGAGUCUUAACUGGGCGUUAAGUUGCAGGGUAUAGACCCGAAACCCGGUGAUCUAGCCAUGGGCAGGUUGAAGGUUGGGUAACACUAACUGGAGGACCGAACCGACUAAUGUUGAAAAAUUAGCGGAUGACUUGUGGCUGGGGGUGAAAGGCCAAUCAAACCGGGAGAUAGCUGGUUCUCCCCGAAAGCUAUUUAGGUAGCGCCUCGUGAAUUCAUCUCCGGGGGUAGAGCACUGUUUCGGCAAGGGGGUCAUCCCGACUUACCAACCCGAUGCAAACUGCGAAUACCGGAGAAUGUUAUCACGGGAGACACACGGCGGGUGCUAACGUCCGUCGUGAAGAGGGAAACAACCCAGACCGCCAGCUAAGGUCCCAAAGUCAUGGUUAAGUGGGAAACGAUGUGGGAAGGCCCAGACAGCCAGGAUGUUGGCUUAGAAGCAGCCAUCAUUUAAAGAAAGCGUAAUAGCUCACUGGUCGAGUCGGCCUGCGCGGAAGAUGUAACGGGGCUAAACCAUGCACCGAAGCUGCGGCAGCGACACUAUGUGUUGUUGGGUAGGGGAGCGUUCUGUAAGCCUGUGAAGGUGGCCUGUGAGGGUUGCUGGAGGUAUCAGAAGUGCGAAUGCUGACAUAAGUAACGAUAAAGCGGGUGAAAAGCCCGCUCGCCGGAAGACCAAGGGUUCCUGUCCAACGUUAAUCGGGGCAGGGUGAGUCGACCCCUAAGGCGAGGCCGAAAGGCGUAGUCGAUGGGAAACAGGUUAAUAUUCCUGUACUUGGUGUUACUGCGAAGGGGGGACGGAGAAGGCUAUGUUGGCCGGGCGACGGUUGUCCCGGUUUAAGCGUGUAGGCUGGUUUUCCAGGCAAAUCCGGAAAACCAAGGCUGAGGCGUGAUGACGAGGCACUACGGUGCUGAAGCGACAAAUGCCCUGCUUCCAGGAAAAGCCUCUAAGCAUCAGGUAACAUCAAAUCGUACCCCAAACCGACACAGGUGGUCAGGUAGAGAAUACCAAGGCGCUUGAGAGAACUCGGGUGAAGGAACUAGGCAAAAUGGUGCCGUAACUUCGGGAGAAGGCACGCUGAUAUGUAGGUGAAGCGACUUGCUCGUGGAGCUGAAAUCAGUCGAAGAUACCAGCUGGCUGCAACUGUUUAUUAAAAACACAGCACUGUGCAAACACGAAAGUGGACGUAUACGGUGUGACGCCUGCCCGGUGCCGGAAGGUUAAUUGAUGGGGUUAGCGGUAACGCGAAGCUCUUGAUCGAAGCCCCGGUAAACGGCGGCCGUAACUAUAACGGUCCUAAGGUAGCGAAAUUCCUUGUCGGGUAAGUUCCGACCUGCACGAAUGGCGUAAUGAUGGCCAGGCUGUCUCCACCCGAGACUCAGUGAAAUUGAACUCGCUGUGAAGAUGCAGUGUACCCGCGGCAAGACGGAAAGACCCCGUGAACCUUUACUAUAGCUUGACACUGAACAUUGAGCCUUGAUGUGUAGGAUAGGUGGGAGGCUUUGAAGUGUGGACGCCAGUCUGCAUGGAGCCGACCUUGAAAUACCACCCUUUAAUGUUUGAUGUUCUAACGUUGGCCCGUAAUCCGGGUUGCGGACAGUGUCUGGUGGGUAGUUUGACUGGGGCGGUCUCCUCCUAAAGAGUAACGGAGGAGCACGAAGGUUGGCUAAUCCUGGUCGGACAUCAGGAGGUUAGUGCAAUGGCAUAAGCCAGCUUGACUGCGAGCGUGACGGCGCGAGCAGGUGCGAAAGCAGGUCAUAGUGAUCCGGUGGUUCUGAAUGGAAGGGCCAUCGCUCAACGGAUAAAAGGUACUCCGGGGAUAACAGGCUGAUACCGCCCAAGAGUUCAUAUCGACGGCGGUGUUUGGCACCUCGAUGUCGGCUCAUCACAUCCUGGGGCUGAAGUAGGUCCCAAGGGUAUGGCUGUUCGCCAUUUAAAGUGGUACGCGAGCUGGGUUUAGAACGUCGUGAGACAGUUCGGUCCCUAUCUGCCGUGGGCGCUGGAGAACUGAGGGGGGCUGCUCCUAGUACGAGAGGACCGGAGUGGACGCAUCACUGGUGUUCGGGUUGUCAUGCCAAUGGCACUGCCCGGUAGCUAAAUGCGGAAGAGAUAAGUGCUGAAAGCAUCUAAGCACGAAACUUGCCCCGAGAUGAGUUCUCCCUGACUCCUUGAGAGUCCUGAAGGAACGUUGAAGACGACGACGUUGAUAGGCCGGGUGUGUAAGCGCAGCGAUGCGUUGAGCUAACCGGUACUAAUGAACCGUGAGGCUUAACC